AUACUUACCUGGCAGGGAACCAUCGGUGAUCAGGAGGGCCGAGAUUUCAGGACUAGACUGUCCCAGUGCAUUUUGGGUGUGCUGAUGCCUGCAAUAUCCCAAAUUGCAGGAUACUCAACUGCAAAAUUUGUGGUGCUGGGGACUUGUUUGCACUCUCCCCGA